CACCCACCUCGGCCUCCCAAAGUGCUAGGAUUACAGGCAUGAGCCACCACGCCCAGCCCAUACCUGCUCUAUAGAGAGGGUGAAGUUUGCUCAUCUGGGCCUGCAGCACCCAGGAGCUCCUGAAAGAGCUCAUGGCAGUUUCAGAGUAGACAGAGGAUGUGAGAAGCAGUGACUCUUGUUUGGAAAUCUUCUAAAUUGGCUGACUCCCAUUUACAUGCUGUUUCUGGCAGCAGAGAUCAGUCUGGGUCACCUCUAUGCUGCUGAGUAAAUAUGCUCAAAAUUAUUACUAUUUCAGACAAAUGUUUAACUGUUCUCAGAUUAUCUAUAACACCCCAGGCCAAAGUCACAGCAAUCUAACCUGGGAGUGAGUUUACUUUACUUUGUGAUUUAUGGAAUGAGAAUUCUGGGUGCUCUGUGGGACUAAUUUAAUACGAAACAUUCAGAUGUCUGUCUUAUAAUGCCAUUCAUCUUUCCUUAGCCUGCCUGCACCAGGGAGCAUGUGGUUCAGAGAGCAGCCUCUCCCUUCUCAGCCACAAAUCAUCACGCUUGUGAAAGGGGGUGACAAGUCUUCCCUUCUAAGCCAGGCUGCCUGCAACAGAGGGUCUGUCUGGUCUCUGAUGGAAGAAAAGUGUUUUCCACUCUUUCAGGCUGUUGGAGUGUUUUGAAAGGUACAGUUGGCAAAGUAGGAUUCCUAGUCAACAUUGCUUUGGUUUGCCUUUUGGUAAAGGGAAUUUAGUCAGUCUAUACUGUCUUAUCAACAGGUGCAGAUUUGUUUUAUAAGAAGGCAAUGUGAUGUUCUAUGGAUUGACAUAAUGCACGUGAGAAGAAAGUUCUACAAAAAGCUAAACUCUGAUUCAGUGUAGUACUUACAUUUGAAAAGCAGAUAUUUCAAUGCAUGGCUAAAAAGGAACAAAAAUAAAACUUUUUAAACCAACAAGUUACCCUAAAUCUCACAUUCAUCCAACAAAUAUUCAUGAACGCCUGCUAUGUAGUAAGGGCUAUUCAGGCACUGGGAACACAAUUCUGAACACCCUACUUUCAUGGAGUUUGCAGACCAGUGAGAGAAAGGGCAUGUCCACAGUGGUAAGUCCUACAAGGGUGAGCAACAGGUACAGGGGGAGCACAUGGAAGGAAGUUCCCCACACAGUCAUAUAAAAUGACAUGAGAAAGCUGCAGGAAGAAAAUGUGCAAAAUCAUGGAAGUAAGAGAGAAUAUACAAUCUUGGGGAAUGGGGAAAAGUUUAGCAUGGGUGGAGUGCAGAACUCUGUGAACAAAGGGCUGAGAACCCAGACUUCAGAGCCAGGGGACCUCCGGAUUCCAAAGGCCUUUGGGCACAGGGGAGCGAGUUUGUCCUGCAUUUUGAUGGCAACAGAGGGCCACUUAAGCUCUUUAAGUGAGGAAGUGACAUGAUAUGAUUCUUAUUCUAGAAAGAUCAUUCUGGCUACAACUUUGACAAAGAAUUCGAUAGAAGCAAGGCUCUGGGGGUGGGGGUGUGUGCAGUGACUAGUUGGAAAAUCAGUGUUAUUAUACCAGUGAGUGAUGGCAGUGGUCUGAAGUCAGAUAGGUUCUGGAGUCUGGGAAGUUGAAGAUCAAGGUGCCAGCAGAUUCAGUUUCUGGUGAGGAAUCAUUUUCUAACUUGUAGACAGCCAUCUCCUUGUUGUGUCCUGAUAUGGCAGAGAGAAAGAGGUCUCCCUCUCUCUUCCUCUUCUUAUAAGGCCAUUAAUUCUAUUGGAUUAAUGUUCCACCCUUAAGACCUCAUUUAACCUUAAUUACCAACUAAAAGCCUUAUCUCCAAAUAUAGUCACACUGGGGUUUGUGUCUUCAACAUAAAUUUUGGGGCACAAUUCAAUCCAUAGCAGUCACUAUUUUUUUUUUUCUACUCCAAGGAAACCAAAGGGUAUGGCAGUUGAGUUUCUAUCUGGAGUGGGAAAAAUGAGGAGCUAUAUAGAGAUAGGCAUCUGAGAGAAAUUUAUGUAGUUUGAAAAGAUCCCAGAAAGACAUAUUUCUUAUAUUUUUCUUUACCACUAAAAUGUCACUAUUCUAUAGAGAUCAUGUUUUCUACUUACAAACAGAAAAAAAUAUAUAAAUAAUUUAACUAAAACAUACUUUAAAGGCAAAAUAUAAAUUCAAUCUAUGGUUAUUUUACUUGGUUUCUCCUAAGACCUAUUUGUAUGUAAAGUCAAUAAAUUUAGGAAAAAAAAAUUAAAUAUGAAAAUAAAGCAUUUUCUCUGUUGUAACUAAUGAAAUGCUGUCCCUUGAAGGAGAUAAUGACAUAUCAUGCAUGGAAGAAAUAGACUAAGCUCUGGCUGAAGAACGACUUGUAUUCAUGUUCAAUAUUUUAUCUUCAUUCUCUCUGAUAAUAUAUUUUCAAUGACUUUUUUCCUUUAUUUUGGUUAACAUUAAAAAGAGAUAUAAGGCAUGACAACAACUCCUUUAAGGGGAAGAUAAGAUAUCUUUCAACUUCUACUUGCGAUGCUGUGAUGCUUUAGGCACUAAAGCAGAAUUAGAGAGCUGCUGCAGGAAUGGGAGAAGACAAACGCUUCAGGACCAUAGAAGGAGGGGCACAGGCAAUCAUAAAUCAGAGAAAGAUGCUGGUCCUGCAGAAAGAGCCACUAACCCUGGAGAGAGAGCCGCCUUGGUGCAUUGAUGACUGAUGAGCCGACAACAGUUGGAGAUGAGAGCAAGUAGUGGUUCAAGCACUUGAGUUUAGGAUAGUGUUAUGGACUAAACUGUGUCCACUCCAAAUUCAUGGUUAAGCCCUAACCGCUACUGUGACUAUAUUCGAAGAUAGAGCCUUUAAGGAGGUAAUUAAGGUUAAAUAAAGCCAUAAGGGUGGAGCCCUAUUCCAGUGGGACUGGUUUCUUUAUAUACAAGAAAAAGAAGAGACGCCAGGGUUCUUUCUCUCUCCACAUGCACACAAAGGAAAGGAUAUGUGUGAACACAGCAAGAAGGUGGCUGUCUGUAAGCCAAAAAGGGAGGCCUCACCAGAAACCAACCCAGCUGGCACCUUGAUCUUGGACAUCCAGCCUCCAGAACUGUGAGAAAAUCAACUUCUGUUGUUUCUGCUGUUUAACACUCAGUCUAGUAUUUUGUUAUGGCUGACUGAGAAAACUAAUACAUAUGUAUAUGGGGUCUAUCAUAUGCUUUUAAACAAUCUCUCUGGUCACAUCUAUCUCUUCCAAUUUCUCUGUCCAUGGGGCACCUAUUUAAUACGCUUUAUGAAUUCCAACACCUAUAUUUACAUGGGUGUCCCUAAUCCUUGCUAACCAUUUUUCUGCUUAAGGUGUUGAAUCUUCUCCAUUUCUCAAGUUCCAUCAGAGUUCCUGAUUGAUUCCUCUGUAGAGCCUUGUCUGCCACCCUAGAAAGCAAAAACAAAAAAGUUACCAUUUGGAGGUAGAAAUGGUUCACCACAAGACACCCAGAUGGCAAUAGGAUUUCUGAGGAUGAGGGAGCUGCAUCUUGCUUUUGUUUCUCAGAGUCUCUCUGGAGAAAGGAUUCAUCUAGAGCCCAUAAAACCAAAUCACGCAAGAUGGAAAAACAGGAUGAAAGAUUAAAAUUUUUGUCCAAGACCAUAAAAGCCAGCUGUGGAUCCCUGGGUGAAUCUUGGAGUUGCUAACUUCUGUAUUUUGCUUAGUUUAUUGAGUAACAAUACCUUAAUUUAAAAAAAAUAUUUUCAGCCAAAGAGGUGAGGGAAUAGAUAUGUGCGCUUGCAAGGAAGUCUGCAGGGUAACUCCAUAUCAUAUCAAAUAUCACUUGUAAAAUACAUUGCUAAAGGCAUUGGCCAGAGUGAAUAGUCAAGAUAAUCACCAAGUAGUGCAAGGACAAAGCUGGGUUUGGGCCUUCUAGCUUCUUCUCUCUUCCUAUGACUGUGAGGAGCAGCCCCCAAGGCAGACCAGGUAGUUCCUCCUAACACAGCCCCUGCUUCCCCAAUUUGAAAAUAAAAUAAAACAUCCUAUCAACACAUAAAUGCCCAGAUACUCCAGAUGGUGAAUGAGGUGGCAUCUCUUGGAUGAUUCAGAUGACAUACAACUUGAAGCUGGCAUGAGAAACAAGGCAGAAAAAGGCAUUCAGUCUAUCACAAGAAGGAAGAAAAUCCAGUAGCUUUGUUUUCCUCUUUCUUAUAGAUCUCUGCUCUAGAGCCAAUCUAAAAACUGAAUUCUGGUUUCUAGUUUUUCUAAGUCUGUAUCCACUGACAUACAAUCAAAUAAAAUGUCUUUAAGUAAACAGAGAUCUUCAUCUCAUCAGCUUUAACUGGUGAAUCUGGCCAGGGACAUUUAUCACUCAAUCCCACUGCUUUUUCUUUA
rnacentral:lncRNA from 1 species